rnacentral:vault_RNA from 1 species
AUACUGGCAAUGAGCUUAGCAGUUCUUUCUCGAGAUCUCCGAUUUAUCAAAUUAACCUUGUUGGGUGUUUAAGAUCUGCGGGCACUACCCAGCCUUUUU